AUUGAACGCUGGCGGCAGGCCUAACACAUGCAAGUCGAGCGGAUGAACGGAGCUUGCUCCUUGAUUCAGCGGCGGACGGGUGAGUAAUGCCUAGGAAUCUUCCUGGUAGUGGGGGAUAACGUCCGGAGACGGGCGCUAAUACCGCAUACGUCCUGAGGGCGGAAGUGGGGGAUCUUCGGACCUCACGCUAUCAGAUGAGCCUAGGCCGGAUUAGCUAGUUGGUGGGGUAAAGGCCUACCCAGGCGACGAUCCGUAACUGGUCUGAGAGGAUGAUCAGUCACACUGGAACUGAGACACGGUCCAGACUCCUACGGGAGGCAGCAGUGGGGAAUAUUGGACAAUGGGCGAAAGACUGAUCCAGCGAUGCCGCGUGUGUGAAGAAGGUCUUCGGAUUGUAAAGCACUUUAAGUUGGGUGGAAGGGCAGUAAGUUAAUACCUGGCUGUUUUGACGUUACCAACAGAAUAAGCACCGGCUAACUUCGUG
rnacentral:rRNA from 1 species